UCGACGCGUCGUCGACGGGCGCGUCUAAGCGCAGCGCGAUCGACAGGUGAUAUGCGGCGCCCUCCUCCUGAACCUGCGCGGCGAGCCACAGAUCUUCCUGUGCGGGCGAAGCCGGCGCGUCGUCCGCGUCCUCCGGCGCGAGCGGCGCUUCCGGGCGCGCGCCGGUCGGCGCGGCGUCGGGCGCGGCACGAGGCUCGCGCGCCGCGCCGCCCGUGCGCUCGAUCCAGGCCGCGAGCUCGCGCAGCGUCGCGCACCCGAGCACGUCGACGCGCGUCGCAUGCAUGCCGCCGCACGCGCGCACGACGUCGACGAGCAGCGCCGGCGGCAGCGCGCCGCCGACAUGAUCGACGAGCGGCUCGUCCACAUCGGGGCCGGCCGCCCCCAGAUGCUCGGCCAACCCGGCGCGCAGCCGCAGCGCCGUCUCGACCACGUCAUAUGAUUGAUUCAUAUGCAAUCCUAUUUUAUGCGUCCCGUCCUGAAGCACGACGGCCCGCCCACCGUCCGCAAGCGGAUGCGCGCCGCUCCGCGCCACUAGGUCAGCGCCCGUUCGUCGCGCGGCGCGAGCAGCGUAUCGGCGAGCCGCUGCACGUACUGCCGCAGUUCCGGCACCGCCGUCGCCUCCCAAUCGCGCGCCUGCAGCAACGGUCCGACAUAACGCAGCCACGCCGACGGCGAGCCGUCGCGAUCGAGCACCGCGCCGUCGUCGGCGAUCUCGAACCCCAUGCCGAUCGCAUCCGGCACGAUCAGCCCGUCCGCAUACAGGUUGCCGAGCAGCGAUCCCGCCCGCGCGCUGAAGUCCGGUGCCGGCCCCGUGCAGUUGACGACCGCGCCCACCUCGAGACGCUCGUCGACGGCCGCGCCGCGCCGGCGCACCGUCACGCCGACGCCGUUCGGAUGCUCGCUGUAGCCCGUCACCCGCCCCGCGACGGCCGCGACGCCGCCUCGCUCGAAUUCCGCUUGCAGCCGUGCGGCCGGCUCGGGCGCGCAGCGGUGGCGAUGCACGUCCCAGUACGGCCUGACAUGGCGCAGGAAGCGCCGGCGCUCGUCGCUCGGCAACUGGCGCCACAGCGCCGGCGUCGCCGCGCGCAGCGAACCGAUCACGUCUCGCCAGUCGCCGCCUCGGCGAAUCGCGUCGCGCACCGCGCGCACGUAAUGGCGCACGUCCGCGCGCGCGAGCAUGCGGGCCGCCAGCCGAUCGUCGUAGGACGGCGGCGCGUCCAUCUCACGGUGCGCGAGCGGCAUCAACCCGUGGCGCGACACCACGUGAAUCGGCGCCGCGUGGCCCCGGGCGCGCAAAUCGAGCACCACGUCCAUCAUCGUGAGCCCGCUGCCCACGAGCAGCACCGGCGUAUCGGGCGCGAUGCCGCGCAGUGCGCCCGGCCGCCAUGGAUCGCGAACGUAGGCAUGGCUGUCGUAGAACUUGCGUUGCGAUUCGGCGAUGAACGGAUCGCGGCGCAUUUCGUUGCCGCUGCUCAGCACGACGCGGUCGGCCUCGAUCACCGCGCCGCCGUCCAUCGUGAUCGCGCCGCGCGCGCCGCCGUCGACGGGCGCGAUUCUCACCGCGCUGCCCACCACGCUACGAAAUUCGAUGCCCGCGUGCGCCUGCUCGAUCGCCUCGGUCAGGCGCGCCUCGAGGUAGUCGCCGUAGAUCCGCCGCGGCACGAAGCUGCCGCGCGCGACGCGCGGAUCGCGCCCGCUCGCGUAUCGAUAGAAGUCGUCAUCGUCGCCGGCCACCGCGCUCAUCCGGCCGGCGGGCACGUUCAGCAGAUGGCCGAGCGCGCGCGUGCCGUACGCCACGCCGCGCGCCAUCGCGCCCGACCGGUUGAUCAGCAGCACCCGCAUUGGCCGCACCGGCGGCCUUCGCAGCAGAUGCGUCGCCAGCGUCGCCCCGCAAAACCCCGCACCGAUAAUCGCAACCGUCGUCGUGCUCAUUGCUUCCCCGUUCGUUUGGAUGGUGCCGCACGCCCCGCUUCCCCGACGUCCAUUCGCUCGUCGCCCCCUCCGGAUCGCGCGCGCCGCCGCAUCGCCACCGCAUCACCGCCGCAUCGCCGCGGCGGCGCCGCGGCGCCGCCGCCGAAGCCGGCGGUCGCGCCGCGCCGUCGCGCUCGAUGCCCGGCCGUUUCGCAUCCAAUGAGCGAGCGCGGUCGUUCAUGUCCGCCGCGGCUCGCCGUGCGUCCGCUCGCCGAGCGCCUCGUGCGUGGGCAGCGGCAGCCAUGCCGCGAGACACGCCGACGCCGCCAUCAUCAGCGCCGAUACCACGAACGCCGAGUUGAUCGAGCUGCCCUGCGCGGCGACGCCCCAGAGAUAGCUGCCGAUCGACAGCCCACCGACGAUGAACGAAUGAAACAGCGACAGCGAGCGCCCGGCCACCCAAGCCGGCGAUGCCGUCUGGAUCGUCAGGUUGUAGGUCGAGACGACCACGACCCAGCUGCCGCCCGCGACGGCGAGGCCCAGCAUCGCGACGGCCUGGCAUGGGCUCCACGCGGUCGCCAGCAUGCCGGCGGCGAACGUGAGCGUGCACAGCCGCACGAGCGCCUCGCGGCCGAGUCGCGCGCGCCCCGCCGCGCCGCCCAGCGCGCCGGACGCCGCGCCCGCGCCGAACGACGCGAGCAGCACGCCGUAGGUGCGCGCCUCGCCGCCGAAUUGCGUUUUCGCGAAGAGCGGCAGCAGCGCCCAGACGGGACUGCCGAGAAACCCGAACAGGCUGCUGCGGAUCAACGUGCCGCGAAUGCCGCGCGCACGGCCGCAAUAGCGAACGCCUUGAACGAGCAUCGUCGCGAGGCGCUCGCGCACGGGCGGGCGCGCCGCCGCGCCGCGAAUCGAGCGCGACAGCACGUAGAUGAGCCCCGCGUACGAUAGCCCGCUGAGAACGAACGCCGCGUUCGGCGACACGGAAGCGACGAUGAAGCCGCCCAGCGCGGGCCCGGCGGUGCGCGCGAAGUUCAUCGAAAAGCUGUCGAGCGCGAUCGCCGCGGACAGCUCGCGCGCGGGCACCUGCUCGGUCACGGCGGACUGCCACGCGGGCUGGAACAUCGCGCCCGCGCAGCCGCCGACGAACAUGCAGACGAGCAGGCGCGCCGGCGUCAUCGCGCCCGCGGCGG
rnacentral:rRNA from 1 species